UACGGAGGGUGCAAGCGUUAUCCGGAUUCACUGGGUUUAAAGGGUGCGUAGGUGGGCAGGUAAGUCAGUGGUGAAAUCUCUGGGCUUAACCCAGAAACUGCCGUUGAUACUAUCUGUCUUGAAUAUAGUGGAGGUGAGCGGAAUAUGUCAUGUAGCGGUGAAAUGCUUAGAUAUGACAUAGAACACCCAUUGCGAAGGCAGCUCGCUACACUAUCAUUGACACUGAGGCACGAAAAGCGUGGGGAUCAAACAGG
rnacentral:rRNA from 1 species